rnacentral:rRNA from 1 species
GACGAACGCUGGCGGCGUGCCUAAUACAUGCAAGUAGAACGCUGAAGGAGGAGCUUGCUUUCUGGAUGAGUUGCGAACGGGUGAGUAACGCGUAGGUAACCUGCCUGGUAGCGGGGGAUAACUAUUGGAAACGAUAGCUAAUACCGCAUAAGAGUAGAUGUUGCAUGACAUUUGCUUAAAAGGUGCAAUUGCAUCACUACCAGAUGGACCUGCGUUGUAUUAGCUAGUUGGUGAGGUAACGGCUCACCAAGGCAACGAUACAUAGCCGACCUGAGAGGGUGAUCGGCCACACUGGGACUGAGACACGGCCCAGACUCCUACGGGAGGCAGCAGUAGGGAAUCUUCGGCAAUGGACGGAAGUCUGACCGAGCAACGCCGCGUGAGUGAAGAAGGUUUUCGGAUCGUAAAGCUCUGUUGUAAGAGAAGAACGAGUGUGAGAGUGGAAAGUCACACUGUGACGUAUCUACCA